rnacentral:rRNA from 1 species
GAUGAACGCUGGCGGCGUGCCUAAUACAUGCAAGUCGAGCGAACAGAUAAGGAGCUUGCUCCUUUGACGUUAGCGGCGGACGGGUGAGUAACACGUGGGUAACCUACCUAUAAGACUGGGAUAACUUCGGGAAACCGGAGCUAAUACCGGAUAACAUUUGGAACCGCAUGGUUCUAAAGUGAAAGAUGGUUUUGCUAUCACUUAUAGAUGGACCCGCGCCGUAUUAGCUAGUUGGUAAGGUAACGGCUUACCAAGGCGACGAUACGUAGCCGACCUGAGAGGGUGAUCGGCCACACUGGAACUGAGACACGGUCCAGACUCCUACGGGAGGCAGCAGUAGGGAAUCUUCCGCAAUGGGCGAAAGCCGACGGAGCAACGCCGCGUGAGUGAUGAAGGGUUUCGGCUCGUAAAACUCUGUUAUUAGGGAAGAACAAAUGUGUAAGUAACUGUGCACGUCUUGACGGUACCUAAUCAGAAAGCCACGGCUAACUACGU